UCGAGACAUUUGAGCCCAUCGAAGUAUACGUCCUAUUAAUUUGAAUAUUCUUAAGUUGAAAAGUUGUCGAGUACUUGAUUUUACGAACAUUAUUAUACUGUAUUUAUAUGCAUAGCUAUGUAUUAUGUGGUCGUACCAGAAAUUUAGAAAGUAUCUAUGAAAAUAUAAUAUUUUACAAAAUACCAUCUAAUGAAAGUAUUCAAGAAAAAAUCAAACCAUUUCUUAUUAGUUCUGCACAAGCGUGAAUUAAAUAUUAUACAUAUGCGGUUAAGAUUUCCCUUAGCAAUAUCGAUAUAUGUGGUGUAUCAAUGUUAGAAGGGAAUUCUGAAACUGAAGAAAUCUCUGGAAACACAAAAUCUUUUAUUGAAAGUAUUGAAAACGAGACUUGUGUAUAAAGAUGGCAAGAACUUAUAGAUCCAUAUGUUAUUCAAGAAAAAGCUGUUAGAAAAUUAGUUUUUGAAUAAUGGUCAAGGGUACAAUAGUUUUUUACAAAUCAGUUCAAAUCAUACUAGAAAGCUAUAAUUAGGUGGUACAUAUUUUAUAUGAUAAGCAUUCAAUAGGAAUAUGAUGAAAAACCACUUUGAAAAAGAUAAAUAAAUAAGUUGUAAUUAAGAUUUAUACCUAUUUCUGAAAAGAGUUUUAAAUAAUUUAUAAAAUUUCAUGAUGAGUUUUAUGUUAAAUUCAGAAGAACUGAACUAUUGGAAAAGCAUAACUAAUUUUGUUUGGCCUCUGGAUAACAAAUUUGAACCUGAUAUGUUUGAUUUAUGAACUAAUCAAGAAAUACUACUGAAGGCUUGAUGUAUAUUUAUUAUCUGAUCUAGAAUUUGAUGGGGAUAUAAGCUGUUUUGUCACUGAUUUUUGUUAUUUACGUAUAAUUAGUUAACAAAUCAUAUUGAUUAUGGUUUUAAUGAUACUGUGAUGAAAACUCUUCUACCUAAAAUUGCAUUUACUGCAUGGUACUGAUAUUUAUAUUUAAGAUAUUUUCUUUGUAUCUGAUAAAAAUAUUAUUAAUGUAUAAUAUGGCUUGCCGGUAUUGUAAUGAAUGUUGCCAGUCCAGCAUUUUUAAGUUACACACAACUGUUCAUAGUUGGACAAAUUAAAUUUAAAUGGAAUAAAGUUUGUACUUUUGAUAAAAUAUAUCUAAUCUAAUAUUAUUGAAACAAAAUUAUCGUUAAAUAUUUUUUAGGUUUCACAAUUACUUGAAACCUAGGUUAAUUCUUCAUAUUAUACUAUUUAUACCUAAAAGAUUGAAAUUGUAUGUAAAAUUCUAACAUAUCCUGCUAUAGGGUAAAAAUGUUGCUACAAAUAAAAUUUAAAUAUGCUGAAUCUUAGAUAUAUAUCUAAUUAAAAUGCGUGUAUCUAUAUCUGUUAUAUUAUUUAUAUUAAAA
rnacentral:misc_RNA from 1 species